ACCCUUUAACAGCCGUUAAGAAGGGCUUAUAUCCUGCGAUGUCGGCUUCGGUCGACUAUGGCGAUAAACGGCGCUCGGAAUAAGCGUUGCGGACCCGGGGGCAGUACCCGGCGCCUCCACCAAAAUCUCCGACCGUUCUGAUGAAGAAUGGCCGGAACGUUUCAUGGGGGCGAAACAGGAUCGACGCGCGUAGUAAAGGACCGCUUUUUGCUCGGGAUGGUACCGCCGUUAUCGGGCCGUAUGAUAGUUGCGAACGACAACUAUGCUGAGGCGCGCCUGGCUGCGUAAUGCAGCUCGGUAGUCUCGACUAAUCCGUUGCGGUUAGCGUCGUAACGUGGGGCUCGCGGGCCGCCUAGCAACAGAAGGCUCGCACU
rnacentral:tmRNA from 1 species